rnacentral:rRNA from 1 species
GAUGAACGCUGGCGGCGUGCCUAAUACAUGCAAGUAGAACGCUGAAGGAAGGAGCUUGCUCUUUCCGGAUGAGUUGCGAACGGGUGAGUAACGCGUAGGUAACCUGCCUGGUAGCGGGGGAUAACUAUUGGAAACGAUAGCUAAUACCGCAUAACAGUAGAUGUUGCAUGAUAUCUACUUAAAAGGUGCAAUUGCACCACUACCAGAUGGACCUGCGUUGUAUUAGCUAGUUGGUGAGGUAACGGCUCACCAAGGCGACGAUACAUAGCCGACCUGAGAGGGUGAUCGGCCCACAUGGGAAUGAGAAACGGCCCAGAAUCCUAAGGGAGGCAGCAGUAGGGAAUCUUCGGAAAUGGACGGAAGGCUGACCGAGCAAAGCCGCGUGAGUGAAGAAGGUUUUCGGAUCGUAAAGCUCUGUUGUAAGAGAAGGAAGAGUGUGAGAGUGGAAAGUUCACACUGUGACGGUAUCUUACCAGAAAGGGACGGCUAACUACGUG